GUGGUCACUUUGGAAGCACAUAUAUUAAAAUUGUAAUGAUACAGAGAAGAUUAGCAUGGCCCUUGCACAAGGAUGACACGCACGUUUGUGAAGUUUUCAUAUUUUUC
ensembl:snRNA U6 U6 spliceosomal RNA